AUUUGAAUGUAAGCAUAUACAAUAAAUAUUUUAUAUUGGAGGAAAGUGGAAAUAUUCCAGAUUACAACCUUAAUUGUCUCUAUCCAAUCAUAAAAUUGAUAAAUUCUUUAAUUAGCUAUAUGUGGAGAAAAAGCAUUAUAUUAUUGAUACUUAAAUAAUUAUAAAUAUUAUAACAUAUUUAUAUUGUGAAAUAACAUUGACUAAGAUUCACUUAU